AAGCCCACUGUCGCCGGACGGUUUUGAACAUUUCAAAAUCCAGCGGCUACAAGAAAAAAGUUAUGAGUCUUUAGGCAACUUGAGGAGAUGACUCAAGACCACACAGGCAUCACCCCAUGACCAUGUGGUGAUCAGCCUAGUCUCCUGUAGUUGCCGAAAAAUAUCGCCUAAGUGUGACUGCCCCAUAAUGCUAAAC